rnacentral:rRNA from 1 species
AGGCAGCAGUAAGGAAUAUUGGUCAAUGGACGCAAGUCUGAACCAGCCAUGCCGCGUGAAGGAUGAAGGCCCUCUGGGUUGUAAACUUCUUUUAUCUGGGACGAGAAACGGGCUUUCUAGCUCACUUGACGGUACCAGAGGAAUAAGCACCGGCUAACUCCGUGCCAGCAGCCGCGGUAAUACGGAGGGUGCAAGCGUUAUCCGGAUUUACUGGGUUUAAAGGGUGCGUAGGUGGGUAAGUAAGUCAGUGGUGAAAUCUCCGAGCUUAACUCGGAAACUGCCAUUGAUACUAUUUAUCUUGAAUUAUCUGGAGGUAAGCGGAAUAUGUCAUGUAGCGGUGAAAUGCUUAGAUAUGACAUAGAACACCGAUUGCGAAGGCAGCUUACUACGGAUAUAUUGACACUGAGGCACGAAAGCGUGGGGAUCAAACAGGAUUAGAUACCCUGGUAG